rnacentral:rRNA from 1 species
GGUAACGGGUAACGGGGUGUUAGGGCACGACACCGGAGAGGGAGCCUGAGAAACGGCUACCACAUCCAAGGAUGGCAGCAGGCGCGCAAAUUACCCAAUCCCGACACGGGGAGGUAGUGACAAUAAAUAACAAUACGGGGUUCUUUAGGAUAAUUGGAAUGAGUACAAUUUAAAUCUCUUAACGAGGAACAAUUGGAGGGCAAGUCUGGUGCCAGCAGCCGCGGUAAUUCCAGCUCCAAUAGCGUAUAUUAAAGUUGUUGCAGUUAAAAAGCUCGUAGUUGAAUUUCGGGGUUAGUAGGUUGGUCAUGCCUCUGGUAUGUACUGGUCUCACUGAUUCCUCCUUCCUUAUGAACCGUAAUGCCAUUAAUUUGGUGUUGCGGGGAAUUUGGACUGUUACUUUGAAAAAAUUAGAGUGUUUAAAGCAAGCUAACGCUUGAAUACAUUAGCAUGGAAUAAUGAAAUAGGACGUUCGAUCUUAUUUUGUUGGUUUCUAGGAUUGACGUAAUGAUUAAUAGGGAUAGUUGGGGGCAUUAGUAUUCAAUUGUCAGAGGUGAAAUUCUUGGAUUUAUUGAAGACUAACUACUGCGAAAGCAUUUGCCAAGGAUGUUUUCAUUAAUCAAGAACGAAAGUUAGGGGAUCGAAGACGAUCAGAUACCGUCGUAGUCUUAACCAUAAACUAUGCCGACUAGGGAUCGGA